UACAGAGGUCCCAAGCGUUGUUCGGAUUCAUUGGGCGUAAAGGGUGCGUAGGUGGCGCCGUAAGUCGGGUGUGAAAUUUCGGAGCUUAACUCCGAAACUGCAUUCGAUACUGCGGUGCUUGAGGACUGGAGAGGAGACUGGAAUUCAUGGUGUAGCAGUGAAAUGCGUAGAGAUCAUGAGGAAGACCAGUGGCGAAGGCGGGUCUCUGGACAGUUCCUGACACUGAGGCACGAAGGCCAGGGGAGCGAACGGG
rnacentral:rRNA from 1 species